rnacentral:rRNA from 1 species
GAAUCUUGGACAAUGGGCGAAAGCCUGAUCCAGCCAUGCCGCGUGAGUGAUGAAGGCCUUAGGGUUGUAAAGCUCUUUUGCCAGGGAUGAUAAUGACCGUACCUGGAGAAUAAGCCCCGGCUAACUUCGUGCCAGCAGCCGCGGUAAUACGAAGGGGGCUAGCGUUGUUCGGAAUUACUGGGCGUAAAGCGUGCGCAGGCGGUUUCUCAAGUCAGGGGUGAAAGCCCGGAGCUCAACUCCGGAAUUGCCUUUGAAACUGUGAAGCUAGAGUGCGGGAGAGGUGAGUGGAAUUCCCAGUGUAGAGGUGAAAUUCGUAGAUAUUGGGAAGAACACCGGUGGCGAAGGCGGCUCACUGGCCCGUUUCUGACGCUCAUGCACGACAGCGUGGGGAUCAAACAG